AUACUAUGGUGAGGUCACGUUUUUUGUAGUUCCUGAAAUUCCUCACAUGCCUCAUAGAGCGAAUCACUAUCUUUUUUAGUAAAGUUUUGAAUCUCCCUCCUUAGUCU